rnacentral:rRNA from 1 species
GAACGCUGGCGGUAGGCCUAACACAUGCAAGUCGAACGGCAGCACAGUAAGAGCUUGCUCUUACGGGUGGCGAGUGGCGGACGGGUGAGGAAUACAUCGGAAUCUACUUUUUCGUGGGGGAUAACGUAGGGAAACUCACGCUAAUACCGCAUACGACCUACGGGUGAAAGCAGGGGAUCUUCGGACCUUGCGCGAUUGAAUGAGCCGAUGUCGGAUUAGCUAGUUGGCGGGGUAAAGGCCCACCAAGGCGACGAUCCGUAGCUGGUCUGAGAGGAUGAUCAGCCACACUGGAACUGAGACACGGUCCAGACUCCUACGGGAGGCAGCAGUGGGGAAUAUUGGACAAUGGGCGCAAGCCUGAUCCAGCCAUACCGCGUGGGUGAAGAAGGCCUUCGGGUUGUAAAGCCCUUUUGUUGGGAAAGAAAAGCAGCAGGUUAAUACCCCGCUGUUCUGACGGUACCCAAAGAAUAAGCACCGGCUAACUUCGUG